AUUAAACAAGUGUUAUUAAAGAAAAUACAUAAAGCCUAUGUUAAUAUUUAACCAUAAUAUAAUGUCAAAUGUAUUAUUGACAAAACAACACUAUCAACUGAACUUCGCUCAGAAUCGUUUGUUCAUUAGGAAUGGUUUAUCGUUGCUUAUACAGGUGUACAUUAAAUUUCCUUUCUAACACUUUCCGAACUUCUCACUUAAUACAGUCGCCCACUACCCACGUCUGAAGUAUGUCUUUAUUUGUAAGAACAUUUAUUUUUUUUUUUAGUUUGUUUCUGACUUAACAGUAAAAAAAAAAAAAAAAAGACAUUUACUCGGGUUCUCCGAAAUUAUUUGUUUUUGCGCAAUAAUUUUUUUUUGUUAUGAAAUAGUUUCUCUCCUAUUUUAUGAUGUUGAUAAUACAUUUGAAACAGGUAAAUUUCACACUUAAAACAUUUUCCAUAGAUUAAGAAAAUACAACGAUUAAUAUAAUAAUGUCCGCUUUAGUGAUUUCAUAAUGCUAUCAUGACAAAACCGGUCGAGGAAUCCAUAUUAUGACAAAAAAAUAAUUUCUAAG